rnacentral:rRNA from 1 species
AUUGAACGCUGGCGGCAGGCUUAACACAUGCAAGUAGAACGAGUGGAGGACGGGAGAGUAAUGCUUGGGAAUGUAGAUUAUGGAGGGGGAUAAGUACGGGAAACUGAAGCUAAUACCGCGUACAUUAGAAUGAGACCCAGUGGGAUUAGGUAGUUGGUGAGGUAAAGGAUCACCAAGCGGACGAUCUCUAGCUGGGAGGAGAGGAUGACCAGCCACACUGGGACUGAGACACGGCCCAGACUCCUACGGGAGGCAGCAGUGGGGAAUAUUGCGCAAUGGGGGCAACCUGACGCAGCCAUGCCGCGUGAAUGAAGAAGGCCUUCGGGUUGUAAAGGUCUUUCGGUAGCGAGGCGUUAACUACAGAAGAAGCACCGGCUAACUCCGUGCCAGCAGCCGCGGUAAUAC